rnacentral:rRNA from 1 species
GGAUUAGUGGCGAACGGGUGAGUAACGCGUGAGUAACCUGCCUUACACAAGGGGAUAGCCUCUGGAAACGGAGAAUAAUACCCUAUGAAAUUACAUUCUCGCAUGAGAAAAUAAUCAAAAUGUUUAGUGGUGUAAGAUGGACUUGCGUCUGAUUAGCUAGUUGGUGAGAUAACAGCUCACCAAGGCAACGAUCAGUAGCCGGCUUGAGAGAGUGUACGGCCACAUUGGGACUGAGACACGGCCCAGACUCC